UUUAUCAUCUGUCAAAUCUGCGUGGAGGACGAGGGUUACGCCUGCAAGUUUCGCUGAACGAGUUUUAUUAAAAUAGUACUCCAGAACGUCACGUGCGGAUCUUGUUCUGGACAAUAACAUGCUGAACAAUGGAACGAGACGUUAAAGGCUUAUGCAGGAUAUACAUCUACAUGUAGUUUAGAUUACUACAUCGAAGUAAAGUCAUCAAAGCCACCUGGUGAGCAGUUAAUGAUGGCUACCUACACCCCUACCUCUACCAGCACUCAUCCCUUCGGCCAGGAGGAGAAAGUGUCACAGCAGCAGCUCUUUGUGGCCUUCUGCAACCAUCUCCACCUGGGCCAGUGGGAGCUGGUCAGGGCAUGCGGCACAACACUGCUGGAGAAAUAUGGGGAGGGGGAGUGGCUUGAGCCCAGCGUCAGAAAAGUGCUGGAGGCUGUAGUUGAGCAUCCAUUCGAUUGCAGUUUGGCAUCAGAGAGCGUCCCUUCAGCACACCAUCUGGCUUGGUUGGCACUGCAGGAACACAGAAACCUAAGCUCUGACGUAGAGGAGAGACCACCUCAUUCUGUGAGCACACUGGUUGAGUUUAGGCUUCUUCUGCACAGUGCCAGCAGUUACGCCCCCACGGAUGUUGUACAGGAUGUGUACAACCUCUUCAUCUACAUCCAGGACAUAAAGAAUGCAGAGCAGCUGGGCAACCCACCGUUGCCCACCCCCCACGCGCCGUCCCUCACCGACAGGAUCCGAGUCUUCCUGAAGGCUGUGGUCCAGCGCGACCCCCACCUGGGCCACUCCCUCCUGGGUCACCUGGCACUCCCGGCCGGCUCCCGGCGUCACUUGUCCCACAACCGGGGCCUGCAGCAGGUGUACGUGGACUGCUUGAUGGAGGACAUCUCGGCACUGCGGCAGGCCCCGGGCAACAGGGAAAAACUGGUGAGCCGGGUCUACAAGGUCUUGUCCCUGAUGGACCCCAGCAAGGAGAUGGAGGACCUGCAGUUGGAACUGUUGUUCCUGAAUCUGUUGGACCUGACUAAACCCCCUCACCAACUGCUGAGGAUGGAAUCACUGUACUCCUCCCUGCUGGGCCGAGGAUCAGCCUACCUCGUGAGGGAGCUGUGCCGCAUCGAGAGGCUUGAGCGGAUCCAGGAGCUGAGCACCCAGCUGGAGGUGACCCACCCCAAGCUGGACAUGCUGUCGCAGGAACUGCGGAUCAUGCUGCGGCUGGCUCGCAUGGAGGACCGGGAGCUUGCCUGGAAGGAGAUGUUCUGCCAGGCGCUGUCCAGGGAGAGACACAUUCUCGCCAAUGUCCUGGACACCAGCAUGACGUUCAUCCGAGAUGGGAUGUACAGCGAGCUGGUAACCCUGCUCUCGCCUGAUGAGUUUGUACCCCUCAAGCCACUGGUGCUCUUGCUUGGAUGGAACCACGUCUCAAGCUGCAAUAGUGCCAAUCGGCUCUUGCAGGCCUUGCAUACUCCCGGCACGGCACCUUCAGUCAGUGAGCCUCUUCUCGACCAAGCAUGUGGGAAGCUGACCCACCAGGUGCAGCUGGUGCAGUGGUGUCUGGAGAAAACCAGGCCCUUUCUUCUUGCGAGUGGUGUCGACCCUGGAUUUGAUCCCAAGGCCAGUGAGAUGUUCUGUGAACUGGACUCCCGCUCAGUGCUUCACAUGUUGCAUCAUGCUACAAACUUGAGCCAGCUUGAGUCAGCUGAAGUCUUUGAUAUCCUCAGCAAGAAGCCGCAACUUGGGGUCAAGCCAGAGGAGAGUACCAAAUUCAGUGGGAAGACUGUACGUUUUGAGGAGCCCCAACAGCUCUCCAUCCAGCAAGAGAGGGACAUAGCCGUCUAUCGCAGUUUCCUUGCCAUCAAGAGCUGCAUGAUGGCUCUCUCCAACAGUACCCAGUGUAAGAAGCCAAAGGAAAAAUCCAACCAGGACGCGAGCAAGCAAGGAGUAUCCCAGAGUGCUGGUGCAUCACUUGACACCGAGACCUCAAGGAGCACCGGCAGUACCCUUUCAUCACCCCACCAGCCUCUUCAUGCUCAUGAAGAGGCUGCGAAUGACAGUACUGGCUCACCACGAGAAAGCCUGUGGGAGAAGAAUGUCUGGCGGCACCUCAGGGAAGCCAGGCACCAACUGUCACUCCUGUACCCACUGACUUACAGAGUUGAAACCCUGGAGAACAUUUUCUCCUUGCUGUUCACUCGCAGCGAGGAUGCCUUUGUGGCAAGGGCAACGAUGUCUGACAGUGGAGGAGAAGAAGGUGUUGUGGAUGAGGAUUGGCAGAAGGGGAGUGUCACCAGCCUUGACAGCACGCCAAAGUGUGAGUCCUUUACCUUUAACCUGGAGGCUGAUACACUCAGAGAUGGCCCAUCAGCAAGUGACUCAAAUCUGUUGAGUGUUGCAGCAGCUGUCCAGGAUGAGUUGCCCACAGAAUCGAUGAGCACUGGUGUGUUGGAGAGCUUGAGGAGUUCCGAGAAGCGAGAACGAACCAGCUCGGGAUCAGCUGUGGCCCAAAGGUCCAACACGGAGCGCAGCUCGGAAUCGCAUAGCCAGCUCAGCUCCAACAGCCUGGGGGCGGUGAAGAUCUGCUUUGUAGCAGAGGAAGACAUUACCGAUGCCUUGCUGAGCACCCUGAAGGAAUGCCUGGCCGACCUGUCCGAGGCAAGGUACUCCUUAGCCGGUCCUAGCGCAUCGUUAGAGGUCCUCCAGGAAGCUGGCGGGAGGCUGAUGAAGUACAUGCACUGCUCGGUGUUGACAUCCACUAUGGCGCAGCACAUCUCACAAUUGACGCAGAGGGUAAACGAGGCCUGGUGGCGCUACCGGCUCGUAUCGCAGGCCACCAGCUCCCAGAAUGCAACGCAUGGACUGGCCAGUGGCUGCCAGCCCAUGGCAGACAGUAGUAGUGACGAGGAGCUGUACAUGACCGGUUCCCAUAGAGAUAAAGAUGAUAAGAGAGGAGACAAAUGCCACGGCAAGCGAAGUAGGAGUCGGGUCAGCAGCUUCAGUGGAAGAAGUGGUUCAGGGACUGCAAGGAGGUACUCAAGGGCGAAUUCCUGUCCACUCUCGGCCAAACGCAACACAGGGUUCGCAUCCACAGAUGGCAGCACCAGCAGCAGCAAACGGCGAAAGAAACGUCGGCGGAGGAAAUGCCAGCCGGUCAACAAGGCGUCCAACACUGGGGAGCAUGGUGUAAUCGCCAGGAUGCUGUCCUCCCAGGACACCCUGUUGAGGAUGUGCCUGCACAGGGGCAGCUACUCCCAGGCCCUACAGGUGGUGAAGAUGUUUGAGCUUGAGAACACGCCUGAGGUGUCAGAGGUCUACUUUGCUGAACACUGGGAGCAGACGUUACGUCGUCUCCAGAAUCUGGACACCAAGGCCGCCAAGUCAGAUGCCAUGCCCUCGGCCCUGAAAGGCCAACCGUCUAAGUCAUCAUCCUCCAUCGCUACCAUAGCAGCAUCGGGGACAGCAUCCUUGUCAGUCACUGGGGUUGUGGACGACCUGCUGGCCAAGUCUGUACUGCCGCUGUUCCCCACAGCCUCACUAGUCGGCUUGGAUCAGCCCGAGAAGCACUCAGUUGCUGCCGCCAUGCUCAAGAGCAUCCGGAAGCUGAACGUGGCUGGGGUGGUGGUCUUUGACCUGGCCUGCUCAGCCUGCACUUCCUGGAAAGCCAGUAGGGACUUGCUCGAAGUCGCUAUGGGCCGACUUCAACUGGGACAGCACAUCCCGGGUGAAUUUGACCAGUCCCCCAGGUCACGCCUGCAGUCCGGCUCCAAAAUGGACCCUCUGCUGCUUCUUGUAGGCGUACUGCCCUUUGUGCACCAAAUAGCCAGUCUAAUAGCUCCAACUUCAGCUGAUUCGACAGCCCUCAUCAGGCAGGACAUCAUGGAGGAGUUCUUUCGGCGCAGUGCUAGGGAUGCCCUACUGCAGGCAACCAAACCGCUGGAUGCAGUCGGCCUGCGGGCACAAGUCAAUUCUGUCCUGGAACAGAGGAAAGCUGUCACGGGACUCAGCCGUGCCCUCCAAACCGAGGGCAACCAGCGGACUCCAGAUCCCUCUGGGUCACAAGCCUCUGGCCUCCUUCCAUCGGAAAUGGACCGCGGCUUGAGCCCAUCCCACAAGGGACGUUCCAUGGUCCACCAAGCCAUGAGACAGCUCCUUCAAACCUUUGACAGGAACGGGAACCAUUGCUACUCACUGACUGCCCUCUUGUCAACCGUGGGCCCAGACCAGGACACUGAGUUCUCCAACUACUUGAUGAGCCUCUAUGGUCAUGUUUCUGUCCUCUCCUCCUUGCUAGUGGAAGCCAAGGAAUGGUAUCCUGGUCUGGACCAGCCGGUUCCUAGCGGCAGCAUGAAGGCAGUCAACCCUUACUGUGUCCUGGAGGACAGCCCCAACUUCCUGCUAGGGAGACUCAUGUUCCAGAACCAGAUCCCGCCGACCAGGUUAGAAGGUGUGGCAGACCAGUUGAAGCUAAACCUUGUUCACGUCAUCAUCCGUAGUUGCUGCCCUACCAUCCCCAUACACCUCAAGCAAGACCACCAACCGCCGAGCCCCACGUCUCCUUCAGCAAAGAGUUCCCCCUGUAGAAUUGUUCUGAACAAUCCCGGAGAGGGCUCAAAGUGGCCAUGCGACGCCAGGCAUCCCGAGGUCGUCGCUCGGGAUCUCCUGUCCAGGAUGAUCAUGCUCAUGAAGGGUCAUAUGACAAGCAUCAAUUCCAAUGGCAAGUUUGGCCUGCGAGCCAGUGUGCUGGCCAGCAGCAGUAAGGACUUCCGGGACCUGUGCGAGGCCACCAGGGAGUUGGCUUUCGUCGACCUGGACCGGCUGGAUAGCCCCGGGGAGCAACUGUGUUUCUUCACCAACGUGAUGAAUCUCAUGUUGGCCCACGCUUCCCUUCAUCACGUACACCAGCAACUGAUCAGCAAGGAAACCACUGCCACUACACCUUCAUCCGGCCACACAAGGCACAGCUCCCUGACAGCAACACCAUGCCUUGAGAAUGUUGUCACCCUGCCGGGUACCAGUAGUCGUCUGAUCAUUGAACGGAUUGCCUACCUCAACAAGAUGGCCUACCGCAUCGGACAGCUUGGUGUAGUCAGUGCCUUUGAGCUUCGUUACAUUAUCCUGCGGCCAGGGCUGCACCCGCCAUCAUGCUUCAAUCACAUGCUCCUUCAUAGGCUCCACGCACUGAAUGUUGAGGACCCCUGGCACAGGUAUCUGCCACCUGCCGAGACGCGGUUGCUGUUUGUCAUCUCCAAUGGGUGCCAAGUCUCACCAGCCUUGCAGGUGCUGCAAGUCAACACUGUGGAAGAGCAGCUAGAGUCAGCGAUGCAGCAGUUCUUGGAGAAUUACGUGAUCGUGAACGAGGAGAGAAUGCGGGUGACCAUACCUAAGCAACUGGACUGGUUCCGGAAGGACUUCACUGGGAAGAGUCUGGGCACAGACGUGGAGCAAGGCCACAUAUAUGGUGGCCUGCUCAACGUGGUGGCCCCCCACAUGUCCAAGCAGCUUGGGGAGAAACUGGAGAGAUUUGUUCUGAGCUGCCAGCCGGGCAAGAUUGAGCUGGAGGAGAAACCUGCUUCACCGGGAUUGCCAAUGAGACCAAAGUUAACCCGCACACGUUCCUUCAAGUUUACCGUUCGAAUCGAGCCAUAUAACUUCUGCUAUGGCUAUAAGUUUGAGUACCGCUUUGCAUCCAAACUGAAGCGGCCGGUUCUUACCCAUCGACGCAGCUCCUCUGAGCCUGAGGGUCUGCUCAGCGAGGUCCCCGUCAGGCAUUUUGAGUGCUUGCCCCGUCCGACAUUCAGCAUGACAGAGUCCACCCUGGCUUACCUCCACUCCAAGUCCAAGCUGGUCGCCUCCCUAGCUGGCCUUGUCAGUAUGUCAGUGGAUGACAGGCCCGACAGGUUUGCACUGAAGAAGUCCUUCGAGAGCAGCAACAGCCUGACCAGCUCAGUGGGCAGCCCCAUGAGCUUGGUCUUUGAUGAAGGGGCCUUCGGUGAGGACAGGGAGUUCCUCCCGGAUGUGAUAACACCGCGGCUGGAGAUGACCAAAAUGGCACAGCAUGUGAUUGGCUACUCCACUGUGCAGCGAUAUGUGGAGUCCUUUAUGUUGAACAUUGUAGAAACAGCCGAAACAUUGCAGGAUAAAGCCAGCAGCCUGAAUAUACCAGAAGGCCACCCAGCAAACACUGUCGCUCUGACUAUGCGUAAUGCCCACGCCUGCACCUUGGCCAACCUCAGCAGCGACCACUACCAGGCCAUGGUGUACUAUACCGUAGAUCACCUCAUAACCUACUCCAAGUGGGCGGAUGCCCUGCACCUCAUCUACUCACUCCCCAAAGCGGACGCGUUAAGUGAUUGGCUGCCGCAGUUGUCAAUCAUACGGGACUUUGUGCUCUGCUGUGCUGCCCAGGCUGACCUCUCCACAAAGAAGGAGGAGCUACUGAUGUCUGAUUCUUGGCGGGCACUCUUAUGCCUCCAAGACAAAGACUUGUGUAGCCGGGUGACCCUAGGUCUGUUACCCCGCCUACCUGUGUCAGUCUGUCUGCAGUUACUGGAGCACUGUGUGGCAAACCCUGCUGCAGACACCAGUCUGAAAGAAUCUGUUGCUUUUAAGCUGGAACAAAUGAAAACAUACAGCAAGAUUGCCGAGUAUGCACAGGCCAACGAUUCAGCCACGACACUUGACCUGGACAACAGUGACCCCGAGGCAGUGACCCCACCAAGCCCUUACGUCCAGUGGCAGCGAGCGGCCGCAGACAGCCAGGAGGACCCCCACGCAGUGUUGGCCGUGCUGCUGGGUGCCGGGGACUUUGAGCUGGCCAAGAAAUGGGCAGUCCAGCACAACGUGUACUUAAACUUAAAAGAGACAAUUCAUGAAAAGCAUCUUUUGCACUUACUGGGUGAUAGCAACAACACUCUCAUGGCGUACCAGAUCCUGGAGCAGAUCGGGGACCGCGCCCUCUGCCUUCGCAUCUGCAGGAACCUCCUGGACGCCCAGGGGGACAGGAUCAGCCUGGCCAGUACGGUGUUCCUGGUCCAGCUCAUGAUGGAUCACUUUCUGGACUUGAUGGCCAUGGAGCAGGUGGAGGAGCUGCAGUCACUCAGCCUGGGUGCCAAGGCAUUACUGUGCUUACCUGAGCCAGAGAGACACGACUGUGAGCAUUUGGUGUCUAAACCGAUGCUAAUGUUGGAACAGCUGCUUAUGAACACAAAGAUUGAGCACGCCUCCACUGUCCUAACCUGCCUGAGACGUGAGCUUCAGUCCACCCACUUCCCUGCCAGUGAGCUGACCCAAGCCUCCUGCGACGCCUUGGUCACCAGAUAUGCCAAGAAUGCUAUCCAGCUGAUAGUGGCUGUCCACACUCCGCAGUCGGAUUUUGAGUCCACCCUACGGAGCGUGUCAGCUCUGAGCAUGACCUCGCCCUCAGGGCAGAGGAGAAGCCGAAGUCGUCUGAGCGUGUCGUCGAUAGUGACCACUCUGAGCCCACCGUCGUUUUCAUCGUCGGCUUCGCAGGCGAUCCCCGUAGCUAGGGACAGGGCACCAAGCCCUACACCUUCAAUACGCAGUGUGUCAAAAGGCUUGUCCCCGCGUGGUCAGUCUUCGCAGGUCGCCACAACCCCUCAGAAAAUAUCCGUCUCAGCCCAUGUGUCGGGGAGCAGCGUAGAGUCUCAUACUGUUUCCUCAGUGGCUCGGCCAAUGAAGGAAGCUACGGGUCUGCCUGAUGCACCACCCAAGAGAGAGGACUGGGUACCAGACUUGAAGGAGACACAUUGUAUGGUGUGCAAAGAGGAACGUUUUAGUAUGUUCAACAGGCGUCAUCACUGCAGACGCUGCGGCCGUGUCGUGUGCUGGCGUUGCUCCCAACUCAAGGCUGUGGUGGAAGGCUACGGUGACGCACCAGUGCGAGUAUGUGAUCAGUGCUACCAGACCUUCAUCAUGCCCAGGCCACAGAACAGUAACAUGUCCUCUUUGGAACAACGACUAAAGGCUAAGCAACCAGACAGUAGACAUUCGCCUGCCGGCAGGCUUUCCCCUGGCAAGCGCACACCCUCGCCGAGCUCGUGGCAGCAUCGCAUGCCCGUCGCUGGCUCCAGCUUUACCAGCGUCCAGUCGGGAGGGGCGGACACUCUACUCAUGGCAGGCAUGGAGUGGCAGCUGACCCUGGACGAUGUGUACAACACGCUGAUCAGGGAGGACUUCUACUACGAGCAGGCUCCAAGUACAUCGGUGUGCCUGUCCAUUCUGGACCUUCAUAGUGACCACAGCACCUGCGGCACGCUGAUCCUACAAAUAUGCCGAGACCUGUCGGAGUAUUUAAGACCAAUCCGACCAGGCGUGCCCAACCCAGAAGUAGACUACAACCUCAUCAUAAGUAUGAUGAAGACUCUCCUGUUUAAUGCCAAGCUGCAUUUCAUCAAAGAUGGCGACAGCAGUAGCAUUGAGCUAUGUGACAGCUACAGGAGCUUUGUGGAUCUGCUGAGUUUGUUUGUCAGGAGUAACUGUGCUGACAUACCCAGCAUACAACAGCUGGCUAAUGCUGACUCAGCAAGGCAAGUGAGGGAUCGUCUGGUCCUUGCAGAGCGGCUGCAGCUGGCGGCGGAGGUAUCCACAAAAUGCGGCCUGGAUGCAUCGGCUGUCUGGUCAGCAUGGGGAAUCAGCUGUCUGAGGGCUGGCGACUACCAGGGAGCAAGGGAGAAGUUUGCCAGGAUACUCAAGCCACCAAGUGACAAGAACGUGAUGAGUGUGACCUCCAAACUGCUAACCGACAUUAUACAGUAUCUGGAGACAUCAGCAUCCCAAGCUGACACGGCUCAAGCAAUCCUGAGUGCCUCGGUGACCUCCAUCAGAGACUUCAUAGCAGAACCAACAAGUGCCUCAUUCACUGGCAACCCCUUGGACAAUCCAGCUCUCCAAGAAUGCCACUUUUACAUAACCACCUACUGCCCUCACAUCUCCAUGGUGCAGUUCUACCAUCAACACAACAGGUUGUCGUUGGCCGUCUCGUACAUCCUACACCAGCACUGUUCCAGCGAAGUCUUCCUGGAGGGUCUGCUGGUACCCUGCAUGAAGCAGGGCAAGUUACGUGACCUGCAGACCGAGAUGCUGCACCAGGAUCCCACCUUGGCCGCCUGGAACAACUACCUCACGGUGAUGUGUCGAUACCUCAACGCCCACAGUUUGGCUCAUGUUCUCUACAAUGUACAGCUCUUCAUGAAGGAUUUUGUCCGCGCAUCCAUGACCUGCAUCAAGUUCUACCAGUCUGGUGCCAAGACCUACUCGGACCUCUUUGACCGCCUCCACUACCUGACUAAAGCCAAGGAGCAUAUGAAGGCUGUGCUGGACGAGAAGCAGUGGGACAGUGUUCCGAGGCCACCCAUGACCAGCUCCAUAGCCAAAGGCAGCACUCCGUCUUGGGCACCAGCUAGCGAUGCAAACAUUAGGCUGAUGAUGACACCCUCUCAACUUACAAAUCACAUGAACACCAUCAGCCAGCAGAUAGAGGUCACCAAGCUCCUGCAUAGGAUGGCAUCAUCAGGGAAGUCUUCCCUGCUAGGUUCCAGCCAGGGGGCGGAGCCCGGCCGUGGGGAGCAGCUACCCACACUGUUUGGCAAUAGCAAGGUCAAGGCCGAGGUGGCCUACAGGGUUCUUCUGGCUGGUCCAUCGGUGAAUGAUGGCUUCCUGAUGGCAUUCCAGAUCAUUCAGGACUUCCGUCUUCCCGACACACUGAUAUACAGCCACAUUGGUCGGCGGCUAGCUGCGCAGCACAAGUACAAAGACAUCCAUCAGCUGCUGGUCUGUGUGCGGAAUACCGGGCUGUCCAAUGACCAGUGCUGCGAUGAGAUACUGGACGCCUGUGUCAGAGUGUUAGCCAGUGAUAGCAGCCAGACAAAGGAGGUGGAGGGCCUGAUAAAACUCAUCAAGAGUGACACCAACAAGAUCAAUGCCCUGAUGCUGUGCGGCAAGCUCAAGUCGGCCUACCUCAUUGCCGUCAAGGCAGAGCGGGUGGAGGACGUCCAGCGGAUCCUGAGUGCCGCCCAGCGAGCAGGGCCCAGCCAGGCACAGAUGAAAACCAUCUGUGAGAGCUGGCUGGCAUCCCAGGCCGAGAAGAGGCAGAGAGAGAUGAAGACCAAAGAGCUGCUGAUGAGGAGCAAGCAGGAGCGGAGUUAAACUGUGGCAGUGGAUGAGGUUGCCAUGGCAGUACACAAGGUUACUGUGGCAGUGGAUGAGGUUGCCAUGGCAGUACACAAGGUUACUGUGACAGUGGAUUGGGUAAUACCAUGACAGAUUUUAACAUGCCAGCACAUGAGUUUACCCAUAGCAGUGAUCGAAGUGUGUUAUCAUGACAUUAGAUGUUUCUUUGACCUGAAACGACUGAGAAUAUUUCUAUUCCCCCUAUUGCCGGUCCAUCGCAAGUUUUUUCCCCAGGUAAUGCUGGUACCCAUUUAUACUCCUGGGUGGAGAGAGGCAAGUGGCUUGCUAAGGGCCACAACAUACUGCCAGCAGCUGGACUCGAACCUCCAACCCUAUGAUUGGAAGCCACAUACCCCCCCCAGCUGUCAAGAUAAGUGUUCACAAUAGUAAGCCAACACUGCCAACAGAAGGCUUUACUCUGCAUUAUAUUCAUUUUAAUGGACAAAUUCAUGCAUUAAAGUGUGUAAUAAGAUUUUUUUAUAUGGUGACUAAAUGCCAGUAAUCUUAACAUAGGCAGUUGUAAUAACUAAUCUGUCACCAAUUGUUGAUUAUAUAAUGCGUAAUACAUGUAGCUUGUUAAUUUCAGAAGUACAUAGUUUCAAGAAGUGUAUAUUUGUUUUGAUUUUAGCCAGUGCAAUGGAUUACAUCAAACAAAAAUUGUAGUCAAUUGUACCAGUAAGAGGAACGACCAAUAACUCAGACACUGCCAGAUAUUGCUGCAGCUGCUUCUAAGCCAUUUCUAACUUUCUUACUAUCAAGUCUCUGAACCACAGAAAAUUCAUUGAACAAUGCCGAAUCCUUUUUUUUUUUCAUUUUUAGCAAUUCCCCAAACAAAGAGUUCUCAAGUAGAACUUAUACCAGAACAACUGCCUUUCAUAAGCAAUGGAGUUUUUUUUCUCUCAUGGGAUGAAGAUGUGGUUGUUGGUACCUACUUUUAAAAUACUUUGAAGGCCCAAGCACAGACAGGCAAGGUGACACAUCAGCCUUUUAAAAGUCCCUGCUGCUUUAUUUGGGUCACAGGGUGGCCGGGGGGGCUAGGGGAAUGGAAAUCUAAAUCAGAAUCAAAGCCUAUUUUUUUGUUUGAAAAGUGUGGCCCCCAAAUAUCAGUUUAAUACGGGGAAUACUUCCAAAACUUUUAUCUGUGCUCUGAAGAUUCAGCACACAUAUUAAGGCAGGGGACAAAAUUACUUGGAAAGGUGUCGGGUUCAUUCUUUUACAAGUGUAAGUUUUUUCAGCAAUAACUGAUCCUAUUCAAAUACUUCAUUUUUUUUAACAGGACAAAAUUUAAAAUUGUGCAUUAAGGAAUUGUGUAACAAUGAAUCCUCAAAGAUUGAAAAUGUGGUGAAUGCUACAUCUCACAUGCAAAUGUUAUGCCAAUAAAAUCAGGCAAAAAGUUGGCCUCUUUCCGAGGAAAUCAACAAAUGCCACACUGAAUUUCUUAGUUGAAAUGCUGAGUUCAUGUAUGAGGUCGUGCCUUUACACAACUUUAAAUUCUUGGAGGGAGUAAGCCGUGAUAGAACGAGCUGGGAGUAAAACUGUUUGUUCAAAUAUAA
rnacentral:misc_RNA from 1 species